CCUGUGACCCCGCGGCCACCUCGCUUUCCCUCUUGAACUUCCACAGUUUCUCUCCCUGCAGAAACUCCCUGUGUUGUCUUCCCCAGGCUGUGCUGAAGAGUAUCAGACCAAACAUUCAAAGCAGGCUCCAAACCUCUGAAGUCUUGAUAAAAGUGUUUUACACCCCUCCACUGGUGAAACAGAAAAUGCAGAGGCCCGAGGCUGGGUUAGGCCAGCCCCCUGCAGAGGAACCUGCGUUUGCUGUCCCAAGCUCAGAUUCUCCUUCCUAACCCCCACAAAUGUGGCUUUAGCCACUCUUCUCCCAGGCCUUUUCUUCCUUCCCUAUCAGCUCAAAGCACUGCAUCUCACUUGACCAACCCAUAUAUCCUUGACUCCAUGCCCAGAAUUUGAUACUGGUUAUUAAAUAACUACCGGGGAGCAGGAUGGGUAAAAAUCCACCCUGCCUGGUAACCCAUAAUGAAACCUAUUGUCCGGGGACUUUGUCAGCAAUGAGAAAGUCUCUGUAGUUAUACAAGUUUGGAGACUCUCCAGCCAGGCCCCUCCACCUGUGGGUCUCGGGGGAUUUCUGCUCCGUUGUGUGGGUGAUUGCUGAAAGCUGCUGGGCAGGUUCAGAUCUGUCAGUCUGGUAAUGGGGUAGGGCACCCCAAAACAGCUCCUCUGGCACUGGUGCCAGGAAGCUGGCCAAAGGCUCAUCCCCAUCUUUCCC